UACGAAGGGUGCAAGCGUUACUCGGAAUUACUGGGCGUAAAGCGUGCGUAGGUGGUUUGUUAAGUCUGUUGUGCAAGCCCCGGGCUCAACCUGGGAAUGGCAAUGGAUACUGGCAAGCUAGAGUGCGGUAGAGGGUAGUGGAAUUCCCGGUGUAGCGGUGAAAUGCGUAGAGAUCGGGAGGAACACCAGUGGCGAAGGCGGCUACCUGGACCAGCACUGACACUGAGGCACGAAAGCGUGGGGAGCAAACAGG
rnacentral:rRNA from 1 species